ACCGCUGAUAAAACGACGACGUCGACGGAUUCCAUAGUCUCGGUGAACGUCAAUAUUUGUUCCUGUGUCCGCUGUCCAGUGUACGGUCUCAAUUUUUACGAAUCGAAUAAAUUUGUACGAAGAGCUGUGCCCUUUGUGUAUUGUACGGGUGUAAUGCACAAAGGAGAAUUAUCGCCGACGACCAUUGACAAGACGAACCCGCCCUGGAGGAAACCAGCCAGAGAAUUACGGUGAGUGCGCAACAUUGUAUAGAUAUUGUUAGUCGGCGUGUACGAUCGUUAAUAAAAAAAAAUAGAAAGAAAAACGUACUUCAGUGGCUAUUUCAGUCCCCGUUCGUUUUCUACAGCCAGGCGCUAAAAUAAAAUAAUCGCCCCAUCCGAUGCCUACAUGCGUUUAUUUUUAAUGAAAUUACUCUAGACCUAGUCGGACUUGACCCGUUUAUUGACGUGCGGCCGGACGCGUUGUGUUUAAUAAUAUUGUUUUGUUUCCAGGCCAAAAGUAUGUUACUUUUUUUGAACACAGCACACACAAUAUUAUUUACUCGCAUUUUCUUCCAGUGAGUAAGACAGUAGGUACUGCGAAAAACGUCUAAUUUGGUGUGGGCGAAAUUAGUUUUAAAUUCGAUUACAACAGUUAAAUUUCAAACAUUUAAAAUACAAUAAUAAUUACCUAAUUAUGUGCACCUACAAUGUUCGAUUUAAUUGUUUAA